rnacentral:rRNA from 1 species
GACGAACGCUGGCGGCGUGCUUAACACAUGCAAGUCGAACGGAAAGGCCCUGCUUUUGUGGGGUGCUCGAGUGGCGAACGGGUGAGUAACACGUGAGUAACCUGCCCUUGACUUUGGGAUAACUUCAGGAAACUGGGGCUAAUACCGGAUAGGAGCUCCUGCUGCAUGGUGGGGGUUGGAAAGUUUCGGCGGUUGGGGAUGGACCCGCGGCUUAUCAGCUUGUUGGUGGGGUAGUGGCUUACCAAGGCUUUGACGGGUAGCCGGCCUGAGAGGGUGACCGGCCACAUUGGGACUGAGAUACGGCCCAGACUCCUACGGGAGGCAGCAGUGGGGAAUAUUGCACAAUGGGCGGAAGCCUGAUGCAGCAACGCCGCGUGCGGGAUGACGGCCUUCGGGUUGUAAACCGCUUUCGCCUGUGACGAAGCGUGGGUGACGGUAAUGGGUAAAGAAGCACCGGCUAACUACGUG